rnacentral:rRNA from 1 species
ACGGGGAAAAAACGGCUCCACGUGUGGAGGGUUGACGGUACCGGAUGAAUAAGCACCGGCUAACUUCGUGCCAGCAGCCGCGGUAAUACGAAGGGUGCGAGCGUUAUCCGGAUUCAUUGGGUUUAAAGGGUGCGUAGGCGGGGCAUUAAGUCAGUGGUGAAAGCCCGCCGCUUAACUGUGGAAUUGCCAUUGAUACUGGUGCUCUUGAAUUCGCUUGAAGUGGGCGGAAUGUGCCGUGUAGCGGUGAAAUGCUUAGAUAUGGCACAGAACCCCGAUAGCGUAGGCAGCUCACUAAGGCGAUACUGACGCUGAGGCACGAAAGCGUGGGGAGCGAACAGGAUUAGAUACCCUGGUAGUCCACGCCGUAAACGAUGAUCACUCGUGAUUGGCGAUAUACGGUCAGUCACCUAACGAAAGCGUUAAGUGAUCCACCUGGGGAGUACGACCGCAAGGUUGAAACUCAAAG